GGAAUAUGUAAGAAUAAUCUAUGACCAUUCAAAUCAGAGUAGUGGUUGUUUCCCUGGAUCCUAAAUUAGCCAUGGCAACUAAUUGAACAAAACAAAACAGAGAUGGCUGUGGAAAUGGCAAUAAUACUCCCUGGCAGGAAGAAGAAGAGGGCCACAGAACCUUCAACUGGGAUUUCACCGUUGUUCCCUUCUGCUGGCCUAUAUAUUGCUCCAAGUGGUCUUGGGAGAUGCUAUUGUGUACAGACAUGGAAAGUCAGCUGAAGGUGGACUCUAUGAUGCAGCCUCCACAAGGUCACCAUCCUUGUCAUGCUGGAACCUUUCAGUGAUGCACCUACACUCUUUUAAGCAACCCUCCACAUAUGUUCUGAUAAAGUAAACUUC